CCUACGGGUGGCAGCAGUGGGGAAUAUUGCACAAUGGGGGAAACCCUGAUGCAGCGACGCCGCGUGAGUGAGGAAGUAUUUCGGUAUGUAAAGCUCUAUCAGCAGGGAAGAAAAUGACGGUACCUGACUAAGAAGCCCCGGCUAACUACGUGCCAGCAGCCGCGGUAAUACGUAGGGGGCAAGCGUUAUCCGGAUUUACUGGGUGUAAAGGGAGCGUAGACGGCAGCACAAGUCUGGAGUGAAAUCCCGGGGCUUAACCCCGGAACUGCUUUGGAAACUGUGCGGCUGGAGUGCAGGAGGGGUAAGCGGAAUUCCUAGUGUAGCGGUGAAAUGCGUAGAUAUUAGGAGGAACACCGGUGGCGAAGGCGGCUUACUGGACUGUAACUGACGUUGAGGCUCGAAAGCGUGGGGAGCAAACAGGAUUAGAUACCCUUGUAGUC
rnacentral:rRNA from 1 species